UUUUAAACUGGAAAAUCCCUGAUGAAAAGCACAGCGCUCUGUUGGCUAGCCCAGGCUCUGCCUAUGGAAAUGAUUUGUUGUUGUCAUUCAGAAGAGCACUGAGUUUGAUGCCUCUAUUAUGUCUCCCUUGCAUAUGCAUAUGAAUUCCCUUGAGCAGGGGAUGGGGAGCGGCUUCAACUUUUUCCUGGAAGCCUCUGUACCUGGGAAGGUGCAGGAGGCACAUGUCUCUUGCUCUUGGAGAGGACAGGCCUCCAGAAGCCUUUUGGUUUUAGAUGACUUCUCCGACCCUUUUGCUGUAAAUAAGUUUGGGUCUUUGAUGCUAUCUCUGAUUGUGUUUGUCUUGGUCUAUGCAGAGUGCUGUAGAGAUGUACGUGCCAAAUUUCCUUCUCACGUGUAAAUUCAGAUGGAGAGACCCUGGUUAUCCAGAUGGCUGUGGGGAUAUUGCAUUGUUCUGGGAGAGCUUAAGACCUGGAGCACUGCAGGUGGCAGUUUGGGAGACCAGGGAAAAGAGGGGCUGACCCUGUGCUGGUGAGGAGAAGGGACUGGUUGUGUGGCUGAGGGGCACUGUCUGACCCUGGGUCCUCUCCCAGGUUUUACCACCCGUGCUCUGUGACAGUGGCCACAGUGAGGCUUUUAUUAUUACACCUUCUUUUUAAGUGUGAAGUCUUGUGCUGAAGGUCUGUCUGAGUGUUAAACUACACUGCUCUCUCUUACCACUCUCA